AGCAGCCGCGGUAAUUCCAGCUCCAAUAGCGUAUAUUAAAGUUGUUGCAGUUAAAAAGCUCGUAGUUGAAUUUCGGAAUCUGUCCAUCGGUCGGGCUUCACUGUCCGUACUGGUGUGGUGGGUUCUUACCUUCUGAAUAACCAGCAUGCCAUUCACUUGGUGCGUUGGGGAAGCAGGACUAUUACCUUGAAAAAAUUAGAGUGCUCAAAGCAGGCUAGUGCCUGAAUACAUUAGCAUGGAAUAAUAAAAUAGGACGGCAUGGUUCUAUUUUGUUGGUUUCUAGGAUCACCGUAAUGAUUAAUAGGGAUAGUUGGGGGCAUUAGUAUUCAAUUGUCAGAGGUGAAAUUCUUGGAUUUAUUGAAGACUAACUUCUGCGAAAGCAUUUGCCAAGGAUGUUUUCAUUAAUCAAGAACGAAAGUUAGGGGAUCGAAGACGAUCAGAUACCGUCGUAGUCUUAACCAUAAACUAUGCCGACUAGGGAUCGGACGAUGUUAAUUUUUAAUGACUCGUUCGCGUACCG
rnacentral:rRNA from 1 species